ACCAUCCGCAGUAGAUAGAUAGGCUCUCGGUAUAAGUAUUGGAAGGUAGGUAGGUUCGAAUCCCAAAUCCUUAUUUACAAUUAGGAAUUUGACAAAAAAAACUGUUUCGUCCAUCAAGCAGAUUUCCAAAAAUUAUUGAAUACCUAUUUUUUCUUUUAUCCCGUAAACAAAUAAUGAAGGGGAUACAGUGGUUUAAACCUCGUGUGACGUCACUUACCAGUACGCUUUACACUAGCAAGUUAUAUUUUUAGCCCCGUCCUCCAAAUAAGUGAUAUUUUUCUUCCUUAUUUUUUAAUAAUGCGAUAAAUAGGUUUUCAAUAUUUUUGUAUAGAGUCUGACACGCAAAACAUGAGCUAGACAAUUUUUAGACAUUCUUCAUAUAGCCACACCAAAAUAUAUAUCAAAUGUCAGUACAUGAAUUGUCAUUUGCAUAAAACGUGUUUACUUUUUUGCUGCGAAAUUAUUUUAAACCAUUAAAUAUGAAGACUCCUGUUAAGAAUGAGGCUAGAAAGCUAAUAUUCAAUAUGAUUAAUAAAUUUGAUGUGAAAAAUAAAGACAAUGAACAGAUUUUCAAUGAAAAAGAACAAUGUUUGGUUACAAUCUUGCAAGCCAUUGAAUGGAAUAAUUGUAUAGAACACGUCAUAAAAAUCGAAAAUAAUUACAUUGAAACAGAUAACAUUCUUGAAACGCAACUGAAAAGUUUUACUAUAAAUGUAAAAGAUGAUAGUAGUGAUAGUGACGAAUCUCUUGAAGUAGUUUUUUAGAUUCCGAUUUUGAUUACGAAUCACAAUAAAUAAUGUUAUAAUAA